GACGAACGCUGGCGGCGCGCUUAACACAUGCAAGUCGAACGGAAAGGCCUGCUUUCCCUUGUGGAUUGCGGGUACUCGAGUGGCGAACGGGUGAGUAACACGUGAGUGAUCUGCCCCCAACUUGGGUAUAAGCCUGGGAAACUGGGUCUAAUUCCCGAUAGGACUGCAGGGUGGUGCCUGUGGUGGAAAACGAUUUUCUAGUGGUUGGGGAUGAGCUCGCGGCCUAUCAGCUUGUUGGUGGGGUAAUGGCCUACCAAGGCGGCGACGGGUAGCCGGCCUGAGAGGGUGGACGGCCCCAUUGGGACUGAGAUACGGCCCAGACUCCUACGGGAGGCAGCAGUGGGGAAUAUUGCACAAUGGGCGGAAGCCUGAUGCAGCGACGCCGCGUGGGGGAUGACGGCCUUCGGGUUGUAAACUCCUUUCGACCGCGAGGAAGCCACCUGGUUGGAAGGGUGGUGACGGUAGUGGUAGAAGAAGCACCGGCUAACUACGUG
rnacentral:rRNA from 1 species